rnacentral:rRNA from 1 species
UACGAAGGGUGCAAGCGUUAAUCGGAAUUACUGGGCGUAAAGCGCGCGUAGGUGGCUUGAUAAGUUGGAUGUGAAAUCCCCGGGCUCAACCUGGGAACUGCAUCCAAAACUGUCUGGCUAGAGUGUGGUAGAGGGUAGUGGAAUUUCCAGUGUAGCGGUGAAAUGCGUAGAUAUUGGAAGGAACACCAGUGGCGAAGGCGACUACCUGGACUAACACUGACACUGAGGUGCGAAGGCGUGGGGAGCAAACAGG